UACGGAGGGGGCUAGCGUUGUUCGGAAUUACUGGGCGUAAAGCGCACGUAGGCGGCUUUGUAAGUUAGAGGUGAAAGCCCAGGGCUUAACCCUGGAAUUGCCUUUAAGACUGCAUCGCUAGAAUCGUGGAGAGGUGAGUGGAAUUCCGAGUGUAGAGGUGAAAUUCGUAGAUAUUCGCAAGAACACCAGUGGGCGAAGGCGGCUAACUGGUCCGGUUCUGACG
rnacentral:rRNA from 1 species